GGGGAGAAUUCAUCUUAAGAAUAUUAUAAACAAGGUCAAGAACCCUUACCGAAAGAAUGAAAAGCAGGUGGUCGAUGGAUUUGGAAGAAAUACAGACCAAAAAAUGUAAAGAUACAGGCAAAAUGAAACAAUCUGUAUACAUUUGUAUUCUAACCACUGGGUUCCUGCACAGGCCUAUUAACUACCCAGGCAACCAGCUCUGAUGCACCAGAGUCUUCAAUUCAGAGUUUGAUUUUUUUUUUCCAUAUGUUCAAACACAUUAAGUACUGAGGUUGCGUUUGAUUCUCCAGGAGGAUUUUAACACUUUUGUUUCCGGAAUCACCCCUAACCGUAUAUGAUCGAGGAUUACGAUCAUCUAGACAUCCGUGUGUCCGUUUGCUUGGCCACUGACUUUUGUUUCUGGACCCAACAGGCGUCAUCUGCAGCUGGGGCGACAAUGCUGAGGAAACAAACCCAACAGGCAGGUCCAACGUAACUUCAAGCAGCUUCACUUGAUACCGUAAGAACGUAAACAUAGUCUCAAAGCAUGUGCUAAGUUUUAGGAAACUAAAAA